rnacentral:misc_RNA from 1 species
GAUGAAGAACGCAGCGAAAUGCGAUAACUAAUGUGAAUUGCAGAAUUCAGUGAAUCAUCGAAUCUUUGAACGCACAUUGCGCCCCUUGGUAUUCCAUGGGGCAUGCCUGUUCGAGCGUCAUUUGUACCUUCAAGCUCUGCUUGGUGUUGGGUGUUUGUCUCGCCUCUGCGUGUAGACUCGCCUUAAAACAAUUGGCAGCCGGCGUAUUGAUUUCGGAGCGCAGUACAUCUCGCGCUUUGAACUCAUAACGACGACGUCCAAAAGUACAUUUUUACACUCUUGACCUCGGAUCAGGUAGGGAUACCCGCUGAACUUAAGCAUAUCAAUAAGCGGAGGA